rnacentral:rRNA from 1 species
GACGAACGCUGGCGGCAUGCUUAACACAUGCAAGUCGAACGGAAAGGCCCUGCUUUUGUGGGGUGCUCGAGUGGCGAACGGGUGAGUAACACGUGAGUAACCUGCCCUUGACUUUGGGAUAACUUCAGGAAACUGGGGCUAAUACCGGAUAGGAGCUCCUGCUGCACGGUGGGGGUUGGAAAGUUUCGGCGGUUGGGGAUGGACUCGCGGCUUAUCAGCUUGUUGGUGGGGUAGUGGCUUACCAAGGCUUUGACGGGUAGCCGGCCUGAGAGGGUGACCGGCCACAUUGGGACUGAGAUACGGCCCAGACUCCUACGGGAGGCAGCAGUGGGGAAUAUUGCACAAUGGGCGGAAGCCUGAUGCAGCAACGCCGCGUGCGGGAUGACGGCCUUCGGGUUGUAAACCGCUUUCGCCUGUGACGAAGCGUGAGUGACGGUAAUGGGUAAAGAAGCACCGGCUAACUACGUG